AGAGUUUGAUCAUGGCUCAGAACGAACGCUGGCGGCAGGCCUCAAACAUGCAAGUCUAGGGGGUGUAGCAAUACAUCACCGGCGGACGGGUGCGUAACACGUGGGAAUAUACCUUUUGGUUCGGAACAACGCAGGGAAACUUGCGCUAAUACCGAAUGUGCCCUUACGGGGAAAGAUUUAUCGCCAAAGGAUUAGCCCGCGUCCGAUUAGCUAGUUGGUGGGGUAAUGGCCCACCAAGGCUCCGAUCGGUAGCUGUUCUGAGAGGAAGAUCAGCCACACUGGGACUGAGACACGGCCCAGACUCCUACGGGAGGCAGCAGUUGGGAAUCUUGGACAAUGGGGGAAACCCUGAUCCAGCCAUGCCGCGUGAGUGAUGAAGGCCUUCGGGUUGUAAAACUCUUUCGACGGGGACGAUAAUGACGGUACCCGUAGAAGAAGCUCCGGCUAACUUCGUGCCAGCAGCCGCGGUAAUACGAAGGGGGCUAGCGUUGUUCGGAAUUACUGGGCGUAAAGCGCGCGCAGGCGGUCUUCCAAGUCAGUGGUGAAAGCCCGGAGCUCAACUCCGGAAAUGCCAUUGAAACUGUAAGACUUGAGGAUGAGAGAGGUGAGUGGAAUUCCCAGUGUAGAGGUGAAAUUCGUAGAUAUUGGGAAGAACACCGGUGGCGAAGGCGGCUCACUGGCUCAUUUCUGACGCUCAGGCGCGACAGCGUGGGGAUCAAACAGGAUUAGAUACCCUAGUAGUCC
rnacentral:rRNA from 1 species